GUGAGAUCGAAUCCUAUACACACUACAAAAAAAAACGUUUUAUACCGAGAACAUGUUACCGAGUACAAGUUCUCGGUAUACUUUUAGACACUCGCCUCCUUUACGCGAUUUUUUUCAUUUUAGUUUGUGUACCGAGUACCUUAUACCGAGAACAUAUUCUCGGUAUAGGGUCUUUACCGAUGUCUUUACCGAGAACGUGUACUCGAUAUAGAUAAUUUAGACUCCCGCCUUUUUUACGCGGUUAUUUCAUUUUAGUUUGUGUACCGAGGACCCUAUACCGAGAACAUGUUCUCGGUAUAGGGUCUUUAUAAUCUUCAUCUUCCCCAAACAGAGAGCUCAUUCUCUUUGAAACGGAAAAUUCCGAAAACCGUUUUCUCCGCCCCCCAUUUCUAUUUUCCUGGAUUUUGGCCCCCACAAACUUUGAUUUUUGUCAAAGUUUACCUUCCAAAGACGAUUUAAGUGGAUAUAAGGUCUAUUGAGGUUUUGCAUUGUAUACCAGCGGUUUUAGAGGUUGGAUAUUCGGUUUUUGUUGGACUAAAGAGAUUGCUAGCAAGAUAUUGAAGGCAUUGGUAAGUUUUUUUUAAUUUUUCUGUAUUUUUUUAAAAAA